rnacentral:tRNA from 1 species
CUCAGUAUAGCUUAUUAAGCAUCUCGCUUACACCGAGAAGAUAUCUGCUAACUAGAUUGCUGUGA